UCUUUUUCUUCAAUCAUCUUUGGGUGCUCCCUCUAUUUUUAUUUUUAAGAUUUAAAUUGCUUUGUUGUUGUUUCAACAGGGUAGAAUUUGCAGAUGUGCAUCGGCUCAAUGAUGGUCAGGUUAAGCACUCAUCAGAGGCAUUUUAUGCUGGUUCAUUUUGGAAGAUAAGUGUUCAAGCUUUUAAUGAUGAAGAUCCUCAAGGGCGUCGGACACUCGGCUUAUUUAUUCAUCGUCGAAAGGCUGAAACAAUGGAUCCUCAAAGGAAGGU